CCCCAAAGGACUUUACUUAGUCUGGAGC
rnacentral:piRNA from 1 species